UAACUGAAGAGUUUGAUCAUGGCUCAGAUUGAACGCUGGCGGCAGGCUUAACACAUGCAAGUCGAGCGGGGGAAGGUAGCUUGCUACUGGACCUAGCGGCGGACGGGUGAGUAAUGCUUAGGAAUCUGCCUAUUAGUGGGGGACAACAUCUCGAAAGGGAUGCUAAUACCGCAUACGUCCUACGGGAGAAAGCAGGGGAUCUUCGGACCUUGCGCUAAUAGAUGAGCCUAAGUCGGAUUAGCUAGUUGGUGGGGUAAAGGCCUACCAAGGCGACGAUCUGUAGCGGGUCUGAGAGGAUGAUCCGCCACACUGGGACUGAGACACGGCCCAGACUCCUACGGGAGGCAGCAGUGGGGAAUAUUGGACAAUGGGGGGAACCCUGAUCCAGCCAUGCCGCGUGUGUGAAGAAGGCCUUAUGGUUGUAAAGCACUUUAAGCGAGGAGGAGGCUACUUUAGUUAAUACCUAGAGAUAGUGGACGUUACUCGCAGAAUAAGCACCGGCUAACUCUGUGCCAGCAGCCGCGGUAAUACAGAGGGUGCGAGCGUUAAUCGGAUUUACUGGGCGUAAAGCGUGCGUAGGCGGCUUAUUAAGUCGGAUGUGAAAUCCCCGAGCUUAACUUGGGAAUUGCAUUCGAUACUGGUGAGCUAGAGUAUGGGAGAGGAUGGUAGAAUUCCAGGUGUAGCGGUGAAAUGCGUAGAGAUCUGGAGGAAUACCGAUGGCGAAGGCAGCCAUCUGGCCUAAUACUGACGCUGAGGUACGAAAGCAUGGGGAGCAAACAGGAUUAGAUACCCUGGUAGUCCAUGC
rnacentral:rRNA from 1 species